rnacentral:rRNA from 1 species
GAUGAACGCUGGCGGCGUGCCUAAUACAUGCAAGUCGAGCGAAUGGAUUGAGAGCUUGCUCUUAUGAAGUUAGCGGCGGACGGGUGAGUAACACGUGGGUAACCUGCCCAUAAGACUGGGAUAACUCCGGGAAACCGGGGCUAAUACCGGAUAACAUUUUGAACCGCAUGGUUCGAAAUUGAAAGGCGGCUUCGGCUGUCACUUAUGUAUGGACCCGCGUCGCAUUAGCUAGUUGGUGAGGUAACGGCUCACCAAGGCAACGAUGCGUAGCCGACCUGAGAGGGUGAUCGGCCACACUGGGACUGAGACACGGCCCAGACUCCUACGGGAGGCAGCAGUAGGGAAUCUUCCGCAAUGGACGAAAGUCUGACGGAGCAACGCCGCGUGAGUGAUGAAGGCUUUCGGGUCGUAAAACUCUGUUGUUAGGGAAGAACAAGUGCUAGUUGAGUAAGCUGGCACCUUGACGGUACCUAACCAGAAAGCCACGGCUAACUACGUGCCAGCCGCCGCCGUAA